rnacentral:lncRNA from 1 species
GGGCCAGGCUCUCGGUGGCCACGGUGGCCACCAGGCCCGGCCGGUGCAGGUGGAGCUGCAGGGCCGGGCCGGACGCUGCGAGCGGCGACGCCUGAGGGGCUUCGGCCACGGCCGGACGGGGCCUGGGGACACCCGGGGUGGCCUUGGGGACAUCUGGGGACACCUCAGGUGGCCUUGGGGACAUCUGGGGGGACAUCUGGGACAUCUGGGGUGGCCUUGGGGACACCUGAGGUGGCCUUGGGGACAUCUGGGGUGGCCUUGGGGACAUCUGGGACUUCUGAGAGGACCUUGGGGACAUCUGAGGUGGCUUUGGGGACAUCUGGGGACACCAGGGGUGGCCUUGGGGACAUCUGGGACUUCUGAGAGGGCAUUGGGGACAUCUGGGGUGGCCUUGGGGACACCUCAGGUGGCCUUGGGGACAUCUGGGACUUCUGAGGGGACCUUGGUGACAUCUGGGGUGGCCUUGGGGA